AUAACGGAGAGUUUGAUCCUGGCUCAGGAUGAACGCUGGCGGCGUGCUUAACACAUGCAAGUCGAACGAUCGCAAGAUAGUGGCGCACGGGUGAGGAACACGUAGCUAACCUGCCUUUGGGUCUGGGAUA
rnacentral:rRNA from 1 species